rnacentral:rRNA from 1 species
AGAGUUUGAUCCUGGCUCAGGAUGAACGCUAGCUACAGGCUUAACACAUGCAAGUCGAGGGGCAGCAUGAACUUAGCUUGCUAAGUUUGAUGGCGACCGGCGCACGGGUGAGUAACACGUAUCCAACCUGCCGAUGACUCGGGGAUAGCCUUUCGAAAGAAAGAUUAAUACCCGAUGGCAUAGUUCUUCCGCAUGGUAGAACUAUUAAAGAAUUUCGGUCAUCGAUGGGGAUGCGUUCCAUUAGGUUGUUGGCGGGGUAACGGCCCACCAAGCCUUCGAUGGAUAGGGGUUCUGAGAGGAAGGUCCCCCACAUUGGAACUGAGACACGGUCCAAACUCCUACGGGAGGCAGCAGUGAGGAAUAUUGGUCAAUGGACGAGAGUCUGAACCAGCCAAGUAGCGUGAAGGAUGACUGCCCUAUGGGUUGUAAACUUCUUUUAUACGGGAAUAAAGUGAGGCACGUGUGCCUUUUUGUAUGUACCGUAUGAAUAAGGAUCGGCUAACUCCGUGCCAGCAGCCGCGGUAAUACGGAGGAUCCGAGCGUUAUCCGGAUUUAUUGGGUUUAAAGGGAGCGUAGGCGGACGCUUAAGUCAGUUGUGAAAGUUUGCGGCUCAACCGUAAAAUUGCAGUUGAUACUGGGUGUCUUGAGUACAGUAGAGGCAGGCGGAAUUCGUGGUGUAGCGGUGAAAUGCUUAGAUAUCACGAAGAACUCCGAUUGCGAAGGCAGCUUGCUGGACUGUAACUGACGCUGAUGCUCGAAAGUGUGGGUAUCAAACAGGAUUAGAUACCCUGGUAGUCCACACAGUAAACGAUGAAUACUCGCUGUUUGCGAUAUACAGUAAGCGGCCAAGCGAAAGCGUUAAGUAUUCCACCUGGGGAGUACGCCGGCAACGGUGAAACUCAAAGGAAUUGACGGGGGCCC